rnacentral:lncRNA from 1 species
CCUUUCUUUUCUCUUGGGUGUUCUACACGCCCAUCCCUUGGGAUGCGAGUCCCAAGGAGUUCUAUGCCCAAGGUGUUGGACAUCCCAUAAUUUGCUGGUUGCUGGUGUUUUGUAGUAGCACAAAGCAAGAAGAAACUUUAUAGAAGAGGAGAAAAAGAAGAUCAAGUAGAAAGAUCAAGUAUUGAUCGUGAUCCAGGCUUCGUUCAGAUUCAGCAGACUAAAUUUUAGAGAACUAAAAUUUAGAUUAAAGAGAACU